rnacentral:misc_RNA from 1 species
GAUGAAGAACGUAGCGAAAUGCGAUAAGUAGUGUGAAUUGCAGAAUUCCGUGAAUCAUCGAAUCUUUGAACGCACAUUGCGCCCUUUGGUAUUCCAAAGGGCAUGCCUGUUCGAGCGUCAUUUGUACCCUCAAGCUUUGCUUGGUGUUGGGCGUCUUGUCUCUAGCUUUGCUGGAGACUCGCCUUAAAGUAAUUGGCAGCCGGCCUACUGGUUUCGGAGCGCAGCACAAGUCGCACUCUCUAUCAGCAAAGGUCUAGCAUCCAUUAAGCCUUUUUUUCAACUUUUGACCUCGGAUCAGGUAGGGAUACCCGCUGAACUUAAGCAUAUCAAUAAGCGGAGGA